rnacentral:misc_RNA from 1 species
CGGCAACAAUUUCCUCGUUUCUCCUCAGUUGUAACUGAAGUAUCGUCUGGUAGAGGUCGUUUCGCGAUGCCGCAGUUGUACGCCGCUUUUUCUUUUGAAGAGGUUGUCUGAAGAGGUUCAGAAGAUCCUGCCGAGGAACAUAGUGUGUAGUAUUGUGGCAACGGUUUAGUAGGAUAUCCUACAGAUUCGUGGUUCGCGCCCAUGCUGUAUCUAUUAUCGAUUAUAAUUGACCGGUUGAUGUACGUUUUCAGUAGUUUUUGUCCCUACAUCCCCAAUUAAACCCUGGACUCAAGCAAUUCUGUGCCGAAUUCAAAUCCUUUUAGUCCUGGUUCUUAUGUGUAUUGUUUAGAGCAAUCCACGAAUAAAUGAAAUGAAAAAAAAAAUACGAAAAGAAGGAAACUCGCUUGAUAAUAGGCGGUCUAUUGUGUUAGGGUUGAAACUUGCAAGGGUAGUUUGAUAACAAUAGAGAAGAGGCGCAAGGAAAUAGUACAUUCGAGUAAAAGGGGUUCGUUGGUGAAACCGCUUCGAACAAAACGCUCGGUUAUAGUAUGUAGAUCGAAACUCAAUCAAUCGCGAACUAGCUGCUAUUGAAAGAGAGAGUUCAGUUACAGACAACGUACAUAAAUCAAAAUAACGCUCUUUCCGUUCUUCCCUGAAGUAUUCCUUACCGAAUUUCAAGUGAAUGAAUGUGAAAGUCCUCCAAGUGUCGAAUCCGUUGAGAGAUAAGAGGAGAAAGUUAGUGGAAAGUUUGGUGUCUUAACAUCACAAGUGGGUUCAAGUGUAUUUCUGAAAAAAAAAAAGUUUCAUCUGAAAAUCGAAAGAAGUGAAUUCUGUGUAACAACAACUCUCCCCCACCCCCGCAUUGUCUUACUAAUGUCGCCAUACUAGUGUGGACGGAGUGACGAAAUCGUGCGUUUGCAUAGAACAACAAUUGCGAGGGUACCAACAACAGCAUCCCGUCUAACAGCCUUUCGGAGGACAUAAAUCUUGCGCUAUUGUGACUCCACUAGGCAGACCAGCAGCUCUGUCUUUGGGGUUUUCUUCGCAUCGAAAGUUGCUUUUAUAGCAUUUCCACGAUUAAUUUUCCCGGCAGCCUUGAACACUGGAGGGUGCAGGCGGAGCGUCGCAAAUAAUGCAAUCAAACUUCCCCCAUGUGCAAGGGAAGAUCGUAAAUCGCAAGAUUAUCCUUGGAAUCAGAUGUGGAUGGAAGAGGAUUUAAU